UACGGAGGGGGCUAGCGUUGUUCGGAAUUACUGGGCGUAAAGCGCACGUAGGCGGCUUUGUAAGUUAGAGGUGAAAGCCCGGAGCUCAACUUCGGAAUUGCCUUUAAGACUGCAUCGCUUGAAUCAUGGAGAGGUCAGUGGAAUUCCGAGUGUAGAGGUGAAAUUCGUAGAUAUUCGGAAGAACACCAGUGGCGAAGGCGGCUCACUGGACCGGCAUUGACGCUGAGGCGCGAAAGCGUGGGUAGCAAACAGG
rnacentral:rRNA from 1 species